rnacentral:misc_RNA from 1 species
AAAGAAAAGGCACCAUGAAAAGGUGAAAGGUCUCUCGUAAAUGUAGAGAACAAAAAUAAAAUGUUAAUUAGCUUUGAAUAAACAUGUGUAAGAGUGACGCAUGGAAUAAAGUGAAAGAGUCGGACUUUAUUUCCCUUUUCUUUGUAAUAUUAAGUAGGGAUUAAGACACCUUUAUGCUGCUGUAAUCCAUACCAAUCUAUUGAAAUUAUAGAGAAGCUUUGAAUAUGGAUUCA